rnacentral:rRNA from 1 species
UACAGAGGUGGCAAGCGUUGUUCGGAAUUACUGGGCGUAAAGGGCGCGUAGGCGGCCCACUAAGUCAGACGUGAAAUCCCCCGGCUUAACCUGGGAACUGCGUCUGAUACUGGAGGGCUUGUGUAUGGGAGAGGGAUGUAGAAUUCCAGGUGUAGCGGUGAAAUGCGUAGAUAUCUGGAGGAACACCGGUGGCGAAGGCGGCAUCCUGGACCAACACUGACGCUGAGUGAGCGAAAGCCAGGGGAGCAAACGGG